GGUUAAGCGACUAAGCGUACACGGUGGAUGCCCUGGCAGUCAGAGGCGAUGAAGGGCGUGCUAAUCUGCGAUAAGCGCCGGUAAGGUGAUAUGAACCGUUAUAACCGGCGAUACCCGAAUGGGGAAACCCAGUGUGAUUCGUCACACUAUCAUUAACUGAAUCCAUAGGUUAAUGAGGCGAACCGGGGGAACUGAAACAUCUAAGUACCCCGAGGAAAAGAAAUCAACCGAGAUUCCCCCAGUAGCGGCGAGCGAACGGGGAGGAGCCCAGAGCCUGAAUCAGCAUGUGUGUUAGUGGAAGCGUCUGGAAAGGCGCGCGAUACAGGGUGACAGCCCCGUACACAAAAGCGCAUGUGCUGUGAGCUCGAUGAGUAGGGCGGGACACGUGGUAUCCUGUCUGAAUAUGGGGGGACCAUCCUCCAAGGCUAAAUACUCCUGACUGACCGAUAGUGAACCAGUACCGUGAGGGAAAGGCGAAAAGAACCCCGGCGAGGGGAGUGAAAAAGAACCUGAAACCGUGUACGUACAAGCAGUGGGAGCCCCACCACUAAGCCAGUGGUGAACUCCACAUACGCAUCCUUUGCUGAGGAUACGGUUAACGGAGCGAAAGCGACGUUCAACCGCAAAAGAAGCAGAGGGGGCUUUAGUGGUGGGGUGACUGCGUACCUUUUGUAUAAUGGGUCAGCGACUUAUAUUCUGUAGCAAGGUUAACCGUAUAGGGGAGCCGGAGGGAAACCGAGUCUUAACCGGGCGUUAAGUUGCAGGGUAUAGACCCGAAACCCGGUGAUCUAGCCAUGGGCAGGUUGAAGGUUGGGUAACACUAACUGGAGGACCGAACCGACUAAUGUUGAAAAAUUAGCGGAUGACCUGUGGCUGGGGGUGAAAGGCCAAUCAAACCGGGAGAUAGCUGGUUCUCCCCGAAAGCUAUUUAGGUAGCGCCUCGUGAAUUCAUCUCCGGGGGUAGAGCACUGUUUCGGCUAGGGGGCCAUCCCGGCUUACCAACCCGAUGCAAACUGCGAAUACCGGAGAAUGUUAUCACGGGAGACACACGGCGGGUGCUAACGUCCGUCGUGAAGAGGGAAACAACCCAGACCGCCAGCUAAGGUCCCAAAGUCAUGGUUAAGUGGGAAACGAUGUGGGAAGGCCCAGACAGCCAGGAUGUUGGCUUAGAAGCAGCCAUCAUUUAAAGAAAGCGUAAUAGCUCACUGGUCGAGUCGGCCUGCGCGGAAGAUGUAACGGGGCUAAACCAUGCACCGAAGCUGCGGCAGCGAACGUAUCACUUAAAGCGAUUCAGCGGGUUACGAUUGACGGAGCGAAGCGACGUCAAAGCGUAUACAAAGUCGAGUCGGUUUAAGGAUACGUUCGUUGGGUAGGGGAGCGUUCUGUAAGCCUGUGAAGGUGGCCUGUGAGGGUUGCUGGAGGUAUCAGAAGUGCGAAUGCUGACAUAAGUAACGAUAAAGCGGGUGAAAAGCCCGCUCGCCGGAAGACCAAGGGUUCCUGUCCAACGUUAAUCGGGGCAGGGUGAGUCGACCCCUAAGGCGAGGCCGAAAGGCGUAGUCGAUGGGAAACGGGUUAAUAUUCCCGUACUUGGUGUUACUGCGAAGGGGGGACGGAGAAGGCUAUGUUGGCCGGGCGACGGUUGUCCCGGUUUAAGCGUGUAGGUGUGUGUUCCAGGUAAAUCCGGUUCACUUUAACACUGAGGCGUGAUGACGAGGCACUACGGUGCUGAAGCAACAAAUGCCCUGCUUCCAGGAAAAGCCUCUAAGCAUCAGGUAACAUCAAAUCGUACCCCAAACCGACACAGGUGGUCAGGUAGAGAAUACCAAGGCGCUUGAGAGAACUCGGGUGAAGGAACUAGGCAAAAUGGUGCCGUAACUUCGGGAGAAGGCACGCUGACACGUAGGUGAAGUGAUUUACUCACGGAGCUGAAGUCAGUCGAAGAUACCAGCUGGCUGCAACUGUUUAUUAAAAACACAGCACUGUGCAAACACGAAAGUGGACGUAUACGGUGUGACGCCUGCCCGGUGCCGGAAGGUUAAUUGAUGGGGUCAGCGCAAGCGAAGCUCCUGAUCGAAGCCCCGGUAAACGGCGGCCGUAACUAUAACGGUCCUAAGGUAGCGAAAUUCCUUGUCGGGUAAGUUCCGACCUGCACGAAUGGCGUAAUGAUGGCCAGGCUGUCUCCACCCGAGACUCAGUGAAAUUGAACUCGCUGUGAAGAUGCAGUGUACCCGCGGCAAGACGGAAAGACCCCGUGAACCUUUACUAUAGCUUGACACUGAACAUUGAGCCUUGAUGUGUAGGAUAGGUGGGAGGCUUUGAAGCGUGGACGCCAGUCUGCGUGGAGCCGACCUUGAAAUACCACCCUUUAAUGUUUGAUGUUCUAACGUGGACCCGUUACCCGGGUUGCGGACAGUGUCUGGUGGGUAGUUUGACUGGGGCGGUCUCCUCCUAAAGAGUAACGGAGGAGCACGAAGGUUGGCUAAUCCUGGUCGGACAUCAGGAGGUUAGUGCAAUGGCAUAAGCCAGCUUGACUGCGAGCGUGACGGCGCGAGCAGGUGCGAAAGCAGGUCAUAGUGAUCCGGUGGUUCUGAAUGGAAGGGCCAUCGCUCAACGGAUAAAAGGUACUCCGGGGAUAACAGGCUGAUACCGCCCAAGAGUUCAUAUCGACGGCGGUGUUUGGCACCUCGAUGUCGGCUCAUCACAUCCUGGGGCUGAAGUAGGUCCCAAGGGUAUGGCUGUUCGCCAUUUAAAGUGGUACGCGAGCUGGGUUUAGAACGUCGUGAGACAGUUCGGUCCCUAUCUGCCGUGGGCGCUGGAGAACUGAGGGGGGCUGCUCCUAGUACGAGAGGACCGGAGUGGACGCAUCACUGGUGUUCGGGUUGUCAUGCCAAUGGCACUGCCCGGUAGCUAAAUGCGGAAGAGAUAAGUGCUGAAAGCAUCUAAGCACGAAACUUGCCCCGAGAUGAGUUCUCCCUGAGACUUAAAGUCUCCUGAAGGAACGUUGAAGACGACGACGUUGAUAGGCCGGGUGUGUAAGCGCAGCGAUGCGUUGAGCUAACCGGUACUAAUGAACCGUGAGGCUUAACCUU
rnacentral:rRNA from 1 species